rnacentral:sRNA from 1 species
UGAAGGUCAAGUAACCUGGUUUGGUUAUGAAAGUCCUCGUAGCUUCUGGGACUAUAUCAGAGUGGCUUGCCGGAAAGUUUCACAGAAUUGUAUCUGCAGCAUUGAAAAUAUGGAAAAUGUCAGUUCUUCUAGAGCUAAGGGUAGAGCCUGGAUCAGAGUAGCACUCAUGGAAAAACAUUUAUCUGAAUACAUCUCUACAGCUCUGAGAGACUUCAAAACAACCAGGAGAUUUUAUGAAGAUGGAGCAAUUGUCUUGGGUGAAGAAGCAAAUAUGCUUGCUGGCAUGCUUCUAGGACUCAAUGCUAUUGAUUUCAGUUUCUGCCUAAAGGGAGAGGGGCUGGAUGGCAGUUUUCCUGCUGUAAUAGACUAUACACCAUAUUUGAAGUAUAUCCAAAGUUCUGAUAGUAUCAGCAGUGAUGAGGAGGAGCUAAGGACUUUGGGAAGCAGUGGUAGCGAAAGCAGUACUCCAGAGAAUGUCGGACCUCCUUUCCUCAUGGAUGAGAACAGUUGGUUCAACAAGUGUAAGAGAGUUAAACAAAAGUAUCAGCUUACCCUGGAACAGAAGGGUUACCUUGAAGAACUCUUACGACUUCGAGAGAACCAACUAUCUGAAUCUGUCUCCCAGAAUAAAAUACUACUUCAAAGGAUUGAAGAUUCUGAUCUGGCUCAUAAACUGGAGAAGGAACAAUUAGAAUAUAUAAUUGUGGAGCUUCAAGAUCAGCUGAAAAGUUAUCAAAGUCUUGACCAGUUAUCAGCAGAAGUUAGCCUUUCUCAGACUUCACUAGAUCCAGGCCAGUCACAAGAAGGAGAUGGAAAACAAGACACAUUAAAUGUAAUGAGUGAAGGUAAAGAAGAUACUCCCUCAUUACUUGGCCUCUGUGGAUCUCUAACGUCAGUGGCAAGUUACAAGUCUCUAACAAGCUUAAAAUCUAAUGACUACCUUGCAAGUCCUACAACAGAGAUGACAAGUCCAGGCCUAACUCCAUCCUGAAAAUUUUUGUGUAAAAGCCAAAACUUUUUAUGUUGUAAAUGUUUAAUUUACAUGUUUGACUGCUGGGAAGACCUUUGAAAUUUUAUAUUGUUCUGGUACAUGUCUGAAAUUCUAUUGCUUGGAGAGAAUCCCCUCCAGUUAAGAGAUUUUGAGUGAAAAACAUAAUGAUCCUGCCAUUUUUCAUUUUUAAAAUUCUUACAUUUGUCAUUGAGAAAGUUCAAAAUGGAAUAGGCUUUAAAAAAAAAAACUUUCAAAGAUCCGCCAAAUCAUUCAUAGCAAAUUGUACAUAUUGUUCAGCUGAUUUUUAUAUAUUUAAAUACACCUUAGUGGCCAGAGACUGACUUCAAGGUUUUAUUCCAGAGACUCCAGAGACUUAAGCUAAGUAUUUUUUCAUUCUUUCAGAUUUUCAAAAAAAAAAAAAAAAAGUUAAUUUCAUUUUUUCAUUAAUGUCUUCCUAAGUUCUAUGCUUUAAAUGCCUUGUUUUUAAUAACGGGAAAGUUCUCAGCUGCAUUUUCACAGUGGCUUAUUCAGUUUUUCUUUAAUAUUUACCAUUUGGUAUCAAUUCAGCAUUCCACUUAACAUUUUAUAAAUUCUAUAGGAAUAUGCCUGUUUUGGUAGUUACUGACUUAAUUUGUUAGUGCCACAAGGAAAAUAUUUUACAGUAUUUUAUGCCAUUUAGGUAAAAUGAAUAAACUGUUUUCCAAGAUUUUCUUAAAAGAUUAUCAAUUUAAAAGUAUGAUCAAGUAUGCCUCAAAAACUAGAAACAUUUCAAAAUGUAGAACAAACGUUGAAAAAUUGUUUUGCCAGGAAAGAGUUCAAGUUCAGUUAAGGAUUUGAGAGGCUUUUAAACAAGGAUCAGUAGGAUAGUUAUCAUAUUUACUUAAUAUAUGUCUGAUAUUCAGUGCUGGUUCUUUUUCCUGUUUGUGCAACAAUGAAGUGUGUCAUGUGUGUUUUAUAGCCUCUAUCAUUAAUCACACCAGAGUCUCAUUUUAAAACAUUUUAAUGUUAAAACAUCCCCACACUUAUACACAGGUAAAAUUAGUUUUUUUUUUUAAAGUUGUAAUCUGUACUUUUUUUUUUUUUGCAAUUUUUGAAACAGCUACAUUAAUCCCUAAAAAUCCCACCAUACUGAAAAUGUAUGGCGUGUAUUUUCUAUAGUAAGUAAUAUGAGGAAAACAUGAUUAGCUGUGCCAAAGAAAUUUUAUACAUUGUUUACAUGAUGAGGCCACAGUACUUACUGAGGACUUCAUAUGGUUGUUUUGUUUAUUAUUAUUGAGAAGAGUUAAGAGCUGAGGUUACCACAUUCAUUCUUUGUGUUAGAAAUAUAGGAGUGUGGUGGUUUUCUGCAAUAUUUAGAGCUUAGUCUCAUAAUUUGGAAUUUAAGAUAAUAAGUAGUAACAAGGCAAGUCUUUUAUGUAAGACAGUCAAACAGUGUCACUUCAGGGACAAAGGCCUGGAAGCCCUUAAAAUAAGUUAUCUUAGAUGUGCCAGAACAUAUUCAGAGCUUUAUUCCUUUAAGCUUAAAGCUUCAAUACUUGUAGAAAUGCAAAUAUUCUUGAGAAAUGAUACAUUUUUGUUCUCAAUUUCUCAAUUCUACAUACCUGAUUAUGAGUGAAGUAUCCAAAGCAGGUUUUCAUCAGCAUGGGGGAUGGAAGGUAGGUAUAAUAUGAGGACAAUGGAAACUUUGGGAGAAGGGAGUGAGGAAAUGGAUAAAGAGAAAUUUGAAAAUUUUAGGCUGGACUUGAGCACUAUUGCUGCUUUCCUAUGAACUAUCAGAAUGUUUAAAUGCUUUAUCAUUCAUGGUCCACUCUCAACCAACAUUUAUUAUCCUUUAGUAAUUAAACAAUGGUUUUACAUACAUUUUUAUAAUGUAGAAGGAAAUUCAAGAUUCCAUAAUCGUAAAAUUUUUCAGAUUUGUCUAAUGUGUAAUUUGUGCAUCUUCACAUGCUGCUAAAUGCAGAUUUAAACAUUACAUCUGAGGAUCAUGACUUUUCCUCCUUUCUUGGAGAUCUUGGUAUAAAAUUCAUCUGCUGUUAUAAAAUCAGGUUUCUACAGAGUUCGUUUCACACUAAAGGUAGUUUGUUACUGUUUGCAUGAGGAAACCAUGUAUGUCUCAAUCUUUAAUUUUAGGUGGUAGUGUUUAUUGUUCACCCUCCCUCUUGCCUCCAAAAGAAUGCUGAAUUAUACGCCAAUAUUUCCAUGUGUAUUCUGUUGCCUUGAUGCGUACUAUACUUGUUGCAUGUAUAUUAAAAAUUUUGUACU